rnacentral:rRNA from 1 species
CCUACGGGUGGCAGCAGUAGGGAAUAUUGCUCAAUGGGGGAAACCCUGAAGCAGCAACGCCGCGUGGAGGAUGAAGGUUUUCGGAUUGUAAACUCCUUUUGUUAGAGAAGAUAAUGACGGUAUCUAACGAAUAAGCACCGGCUAACUCCGUGCCAGCAGCCGCGGUAAUACGGAGGGUGCAAGCGUUACUCGGAAUCACUGUGCGUAAAGAGCGCGUAGGCGGGAUAGCAAGUCAGAUGUGAAAUCCUAGGGCUUAACCAUAGAACUGCAUUUGAAACUGUUAUUCUAGAGUAUGGGAGAGGUAGGUGGAAUUCUUGGUGGAGGGGUAAAAUCCGUAGAGAUCAAGAGGAAUACUCAUUGCGAAGGCGACCUGCUAGAACAAAACUGACGCUGAUGCGCGAAAGCGUGGGGAGCAAACAGGAUUAGAUACCCCUGUAGUC